GAAAAAGGGAAUUACAGACACUUAGUCAAAAGAAAACCAGAGAAGAGGGCAAUAAGGAUAAGAAGAAAUUGUCCUGAGACCUCUGACAAGAAGAAGGAUUAGAUACCCCCGGGCAAGAUGAUGCCGACAUGGGAGAAUGAUAACAGCAGAUAACACCAAGAAGAAAACAGAAGAAUUUCACCCCAAAACAACGGCAAGGGUCGCAGGGAACGGGGUCACUGGGAAUGAGGGAAUGGGGCCAUAGGGAAUGUAAUGAAUACGUAGUCAAACUGAGGAGGAGACUAUUGAUUAUGUAUUAGCUUGACCUAUAUCUGUAACACACUUUUCUCCUUACGGUGUGCAAGUUUGGAGGAGCUAUCCCCCUUGCACCAGGGUGUAUGCGCAUCACUCAUUAAACAUACCUGCUUUAUAACUACUUCGUGGUUAUGGAGUUUGAUUCCGCAAGUCAGUGCGAUGGUGUCCCAGCCCGGCAGCUGCGUUUGUGUAGGGGUUGCCAUAGCAGCUGAGGGCAGUGCCGGGCUGGGAGCGAGCACAGAGCUCAGCAGCACAUAGCCUGCAGCGGGGGGACCGGCAGAGGUGGGUGUAAGAGCGGUGAUGCAAAAGCACAGGCUGCAUAGGGAGGUGGGGGGGUCACCGUCCCUCCAGGUGUUCAGAACCGUGUGGAUGUGGCACUGAGGGAUGUGGGCAGUGAGCACGGAGGGACUGUAUGAUCUUAGAGGUCUUUUCCAGCCUUAAUGACUCCCUGAUUCUAUGACUGAUGGUGAAACAAUCAUAACACAUACUGCCAGUGUGAUUGGUUGUUGACAGCAUCGCUUUACACAGUCAUUUUCUGUUUUAUUGAUAUAGGUCAGUUCUUGAGUGGCGUUGGAGAUGGAGGAGACUGUGGGAGAUGAGGCUGAGUUCAGGGGGACAGAUGAGCUGCACUUCUCUCCUGAUCUCCCUGUGCAGCAGGAGUCAAAGCAACAGGGGAGAUUGCUGCUCUCAUCCAACACUGACACGGAACUCUGUCCACCUCUCAUUGUUCUAAAAAAGGGCACAAAAAGUAAAUACCGUAGACUUGGAGGGGUCCUAAAGACAAGGAACACUGAGCUGGAAUCUACUGUCACAGGAUCAUCUUGGACUUCUGUUCCUCUGGCAAGUGUAUUCACUCUAAUAGAGGUGGUGACUCAGCUGCCUUUUGCCUGUUAA
rnacentral:lncRNA from 1 species